rnacentral:rRNA from 1 species
GCAGGAACUUGCAAGCAUGCGNGCCCCUCCUCUUGCGGGAGAUCAGUGGCGCACGGCAGCUUCAACUUCUUGAUCUCAAAUCAGGUAGGAUUACCCGCUGAACUUAAG